rnacentral:rRNA from 1 species
GACGAACCGUGCGAACGUUGUUCGGAAUCACUGGGCGUAAAGCGCACGUAGGCGGAUUGUUAAGUCAGGGGUGAAAUCCUGGAGCUCAACUCCAGAACUGCCUUUGAUACUGGCGAUCUCGAGUCCGGGAGAGGUGAGUGGAACUGCGAGUGUAGAGGUGAAAUUCGUAGAUAUUCGCAAGAACACCAGUGGCGAAGGCGGCUCACUGGCCCGGUACUGACGCUGAGGUGCGAAAGCGUGGGGAGCAAACAGG